AAAAUUCUAGUCCGCCAACCAUUUUUGCGCCGCCUCCCUCCUGUGAUUUAAGGUAGCCGUCGUUUCCCUCUGAAACCCCAAAUCGGAGUUCAUCGCGCCUCCCUUCGACGGAGUUAUUUUCGACGUUUUCCCAAAUGUUGACGGCGACCCACACUCAAUCAGCAAGUCGCGGGUUUGGCCGGCAAUGACGAGGAGAUUCUGCUCGAUUGAGGCGAUUCCGGUGAUCUCAUCGAGCGUGGAGGAGGCGAAACCCCCGGAAAUCCCAAAUCACCGCCUUCCCCAAAUUGUCGGCUCCUUUUUCAAGGUUAGGAGCCACAUGCACUGCGCGGCUCGCCUCUCUUCCCCGGUGAAGAGCGCCACAACCGACCGCCCCUAUCUCCGACGCAACAAUUAGCAGCUGUAGGAGGACCCACCGUCGUCGUUGUCGCUCUUCACUUCUCUCUCUCUCUCUAUAGAUCCAGAAAUCAGCCCUUUGUUCUCAGGUAACAACGACAAUCCCUUGCUGUUUCAGAAAUUCCAGCGACCAUGGCUGCCCCCAACUUCGACUCCCACUCACUGUCCGAAUAUACGACAGCCCUAAAUUUCAAUUUUUUUUUCUCAUAUUCAUUUACUGAUUUUGUUCUGAAUUUUUUCGAAUUUGUUGCUGGAAUUUCCUAAAAAUGUUGGUCGAAUCUUUUUGUUGAAUUUGUUUGAAUUUAUUGCUGUAAUUUCUUAAAUUUGUUGGUGGAA
rnacentral:lncRNA from 1 species